GCCACGCCCGGCUGUGUUCAUGCAUUCUUAAAAAUUAUAAGGAAUCACUGAUAGAGUAGAUAAACAAAUACAUAAUGAAUAAACAUCAAGGUGGUAAAGCGUGCUCAUUGUUAAAAUAUACAGGAGGGAAAAAUAGUAUUAAUAUAAAUUGGAACAAGUGUAUUUUGUCUUAGACUAACAGUGAUAACUGAAAGUGAGAAGUAACGGUUUUUGAUAAUUCACUUGCGUAUUUCAUGUUUGAUUUAUUAGGAGAAAAAUAAAUAUUGAUAUAAAUUUAUAAAUGCCUGAAUGACUAUAUAAAGGGAUGGAGGCAUCUGUGGCUCAAUGAAGAGAAUAUGUAAUCAUCUCCUGUGCUCUGAUUUGUAUAUUCUUCCACGCUUACGAACUCUGUGUUUGUAUCUAUGUGUUAGGAGCAUAGAGACCAGCAUCAGCAAUGGUAAAAAUUCCAUUGGUUUGAGUGAUUCAAAGAAUGUCAAUCAUGCUAAUGUUUUAUUUCAGGUUGAUAUGCAGUAUUACGUUGAUUAAUGCUAUGUGAAAAACUGAAUUCAUUUAAAGAAAGGGAUUUAGGCUCUUUGUGAUAGUAUAGAUGAAUGUGAGUGAUAUUGAAGAGCUUAUUUUUUGUGGUUUAUGUGUAUGUCUUUAUUAAUGAAUUACUCAAUAAACAAGUGUAGGUAUGAAUGAAGAGAAAGAAGGCCAAUCCUGGACCAUUGAUGACAACUGGUGGCUUACGUGAUUGUAUAUGCUGGUUGUAUAUGAAGAAUAGUACGUAUCUGAAACUUUGAGGUCCAACACAAAUAGAAUCUAGUCCAUUCCCAUAUAUUAUAAAGUGAUAUAAUAGACGGAUACCUGAAAUGUACAAGGAGUUUGUGAUUAGUCUUGUGUGCGAGAGGUUUAAAAAUAUUGUAAAAGUAGCAAUGGCAGAAUAAACAAAUAAAUGUACAAAUAAAAUAAAACAAAUAAAAAUGAAAAGGACAAAGCCUUGUUCAUUGCUGAAAUAUGCAGUAAGGAAAAUACUGUUAAUGUACAUUGGAAUGGAUAAUAAAUGGACCAGGUGUAUAAUAUUUCUGACUAAAGAUGAUAGAGACAAUAGUAAUAAUUACUGAUAAGUCAUAGCCAGUUAUUGCCCCAAGUCAAUUACAAGUUUGAAGUUCAUAAGAAGAAAAAUAAAUAAAUAUUACCAUAAAUUAAUAAAUACCUAAACGACUAAGUGAAUGAAAGAAAGAAAUUAUAGAUCAACGGACAGAAUGUCUCAAUCUUUUUAUCAUCAUCUCCACCUAGCACCCUUCCAUGCAGAUGCAGUUAGCUGAUUUGAGCACUCUGCAACAAUCAAGUUUCUCAUGUUAACUCCGUUCAAAAAGAGACCAAUGUGAAUAUAGUCAGUCAGUGUUCUUGUCUUGGUUUCAUUUAUUUGUUUGUGAGUAUUCAUGGUAUUAUUAAAAAGUAUUAAUCAAAUAGUUAAUAACAAGUAUAAUGUAAAAUAUGAUGUUGAUUAAUCCCUAAUACUGACAUCAUUAAAUGAAAAAGAUGGAAUGUAUAUGGGAAAUGGUUGUAUUGAUAGCUGUUAGCACUAUUCUAGCAUUUUAUUUUUGCAUUUUUCUGACUCACUGAUUUUCAGUGAAUUAGUGAUUCAGUCUCUGCAAAUGUAAGAGUGAAUGAAGAAAAAGUUGGCCAAUGAGUACACACAGAACAAUGAUUACAGAUACUGGUGCAGGAGUCAUAAACGAUGAGUAAUAUGUGGGUGGAACUCUGAGCAUCAACACAAAACGUAUUUAUUCUUUCUGUUUGGAAUAAUCCUAUAGACAGAUGUUUGGCAUACAUAAGGACCAUGUUCUUAUUUUAGAUUCAUAGAUUUAGAUUUAUUAAUAUUAAAGAAUUAAUGAUAGGACCAUUAAACAAAUAUAAGUAAACAGAUAAAAUUGAAGAGAGUGCAGCACUGUUCAGCUAUAAAAGUAUGUAGUGAGGCAAUCAAUAUUAUUAAUACAAGUAGAGAAAACUAACAUCCAUUAAGAAAAUAUUGGAUCAAAGAUGUUCCCUCUUUCUUUGGCUUAAAAUCAUAUAGACACUAAUAAUAGUAAGAAUCAAUUUUAUUAUUCUGAACCAGUUCGUCUAAGUUUGAGGUUGUCCCUUUUGUUAAGAGAAAAAACAUAUACUUCAUGGAAAAUUAUUAAGUACCUGAAUGAUCAAGUAAAAGAAAUGUAGACAGGAAGAAUUAUAGAGGAUGAGGUGUCUGUUUUUUAAAAUAUCGACUCUGCUUUGUUUUCAUCAGAAUGAGUGUGCUUGAGCCGAUUGAAACAUUCCUCCUUGCAUCUUUGUUCUAUGAUUGCAUCUAUUUGUUAGUAGCACAGAGACCAAUAAUGGACAUCGUUGUUCUGUCUUGAGAAUUCCUCUAGGGUCACAUGCUCUGUUUGCACCGUGCUUAGGAAGGAACCUGCAGACCAAUGUGAGUAAUGGUCAGAGUCCUUAUUGUGGUUUGGGUGGUUUGUUUAAGAGUAAUCAAUGUAUUAUUAAAAAGUGUGAAAUAUAGUCAAAGAUGGUUAAUGUUAUCCUGAUGGUAGACAUGGCAGUGACACGAAGUAUUAUAUUGAUAAUGGAUGUAUGAAAAACUGAGGAUAAUUAAUGAAACAGAUAAUAUCCAUGUUAGAAUGAUUCUGGAUACAGAUCAGAAAUAUCAAGGCUGUUCUUGGAGUUUUUCGAAUCAUAGGCUUUGAAAUUAUUAUUAGUAAAUUAAUGAGGCAACCAACAGACAAUGUAAAACUGAAUGGAGAAAAGGAGGGCCAAUCCUGGAUCAAUGAUGACCACCGGUGGCGUAUGAGUCAUAUGUGAUGAAUACGUGUCUGGAACUCUGAGGUCCGCCACAAAAGAUAUCUAGUCCAUUCGCUCUGUUUUACGUGAUUCUAUAGACUGAUGUCAGGAAUAUGGAAUGAAGUUGUUUUGGUUUCAUUUUCAUUCUAAUGCAAGAAUCAAUAAACAUAUAAAUAAAGAUAAAAUAGGGGAGCAUUGUACAACUAUAAAAAUACGUGUUGAAGCAGGAAAUACUAUUAAUGUAUAUUGAAAUUGGUGAAGUCCAAAGAGAUAUUGUACAUACCUGUUACCUCUUUGGCUUAUAAUAAUAUAGACAGAAUAAAUUAUAGAUAAUGUUCAAAUUCUUAUUCACUUGCAAGAUCAAAUUGUUCUUUUUCUUAGGAGAAAACGAAAUAAAUAUUAGUCCACCUAAUGAAUGCCUAAAGGACAGAUUAAAGGCAAGGUGAAAAGCAAGGAUCAUUAAUGAGAAAGUCUCAGUUUUGUUACCGUCUCUGCUCUGUAUUCCUCAGAAUAGAUGGCCUGUGCUGAUGGAAGGAUUCCUCCCUGGUGAUGUGGUGUGUCUGCCUCUUGAUUGGGAGCAGGCAGACCAAUGUGAGUAAUCAAGUUCUGGUCUUAGUUUGGGUGGUUUAGUUAGGAGGACUUGAUGUAUUAUUAAAAAGUCUGCACUAUAAUCAAAAAUGGCCAGCUGCAGCCCAGUGAUAGAAAUAGUAGUGAUAUGAAGCAUUAUAUUAACAAUAUGUAUUUGAAAACCUGAGAGUAAUUAAUGAAACAUUUAUCAGUGUGAGAAUGAUUCUAUAUGCAGAUAAAGAAUAUUAAUAUUAAUGCUGUUCUGAGGCGUUUGUGAACCAAAGGUUUUAAAAUUAUUAUUAGCGAAUUAAUGAAUUAAUCAUUAGACAAGGUAAAAGUGCACAGGGAAAAAUAGGACACAUUCUGGAUCGAUGAUGACUACCGGUGGCAUAUGAGUCAUACGUGAUGAAUGCGUGUCUGGAACUCUGAGGUCCGUCACAAAUAAAAUCUGGCUUAUUCUCGGUUUCGAAUGUUGUUAUCGACAGAUUUUAAAAAUAUAGAAUGUUUGUUUUUUCUAUGUGAUUAUGUACCUUUCUUCUAUUUUUAUAAUUGGAUCACUGUGAUAAUCAGGAAACAAAUAUAUAGUAAAUAUAAAAUGAUUCAAACACUGCCCAAUUAUAAAAAUUUAUGGUAAGGUUAGAAAUGCUAUUAACAUGUAUUAAAAUCAGUGAAGUCUAAAAAGAAAUGAAUGGUAUAUGAUACAGAUAGUAUAAAUUAUAGACAAUGUUCAUAUUCUGAGUCAGUGGUAAUUUUGAAGAUUUUCAUUUUAUUAAGAGAAAAUAAAUAAAACAAAUAUACUCCAAAUAAUGAUUGCCAAAGUGACUAAUAACAGGUGAAAAUCAGGGAUCAAUGUUGAGAAUUUUUUUAUCUUUUCUGCUUUCUAUCCUUUCAGAAUGAUGCACUUGUUAUGAUUUGAGAAUUCCUCCAUGGUCACGUGCUCUUUUUAUCAUGGUUGGGAGCCUACAGACCAAUGUGAGUAGUAAUAAACAUUCUCAUCUUGGCUUGAAUGGUUUGAAUGGUUUGAGAGGACUCGAUAUUAUCAAAAUAUCGGAUUGUCUUGAAUCCCUGACCUCAAGUGAUCCGCCCACCUCAGCCUCCCAAAGUGUUGGGAUUACAGGCAUGAACCACAGCAUCUGGCCAGAAGCACUCUUAAUAUCUUUUGACACAGUGAAGUCCACAGAGAUAUAAAUCGCAUCUUCUGGUGACCUCUGUGGCUAAUGAUGGUAUAGACAGUACAAAUUAUAGAAAAUAUUCAAUUUCUGGGUCAAUGGCAAUUUCAGAAUUAUGCAUUUCUUUAGAUAAAAUGAAUAUACUGCAAAUAAUGACUGCCGAAAUGACUGACUAAUGAUAGGUGAUAAGAAAGGGUCAGUAGUGACAAUAUCAAAAUAGGAUAAUAGGAUAAUAUCAAAUAUAUUUAAUAUUUGAUAAUAAAUAUAUUUUUAAUAUUUAAAAUAGGAUAGUAUAAAAAUAGAGGAUAGCAUAGAUAAUAGGAUAAUAUGGAAAUAGAGGAUAACAAAAGUUAUCUUCUUCUCUGCUCUGUAUUCCCUGGAAUGAUUGCACUUUGCUGAUUGAGGGAUUCCUUCAAGGCCAUGUGCUCUACUUGCACCGUUUUUGGGAUGGAGCCUGGAGACCUAGGUAAGGAAUAGUGGAAGUCCUCAGCUUGCUUUGGGUGGUUUCUUCCAGAGGGUUCAAUAUAUUAUAAAAAGGUGUAUAUAUAAUCAAAGAUGAGCAACUGUAUUUAAAUAAACAUGGGCAUGAUGUGAGGGUUAUAUUGAAGAUGCAUACAAGAGAAACUGAAGAUAAUUGAUGAAAUAAAUAUUCCUACAUAUUAGGAUUAUCAUGGCUAUUCUUGUGGUUUUGUAAAUCAUAGGGCUUAAAAUUAUGAUUAGUGAAUUAACAAAUUAGUCAAUAGACAAGGCAGAAAUGAAUCCAAAAAUAGAAGAUCAGUUCCGGAUCGAUGAUGACUACUGGUGGCGUAUGAGUCUUUUGCGAUGAAUACGUGUCUAGAACUCUGAGGUCCGUUGCAAACAAAAUCUAGCCUGUUCUGUAUGUUUGAAAUUAUUUUACAGACAGCUGUCAGGAGUAUAGAAUGUAUAUGUUUUUGGUAUUUGUGUUUACAUGUUUUGAUUCUACUUUUACAAUUGAUCCAUAUGAGAAUUAAUAAACAAAUGCAAAUCAAGAUGAAUAAAUUCAAGCAUUGUCCAGUUAUAAAAAUUAGGGACAAGGUAAGAAACAUGAUUAAUGUAUAUGAAACAGAGACAUCCACAGAGAAAUAAACGGUACAUUCCUGUGUCUUCUUUGGCUAAUGAGGUAUAGACAGAAUAAAAUGUAGGUAAUGUUCAACUUCUGCAUCAGCGACAGUUUCAAAAUUAUUCAUUUUAUUUUCAGAAAAUGAAUUAAAUAUACUCCAAAUAAUGAUUGCAUGAAUGGCUAAUUAAUGAUAGCUGAAAAGCAAAUAUCAAUAUUGAAAAUGUCUUAAUUUUGUUACUCUCUUCUCUGGUCUGUAUUCCUCAGAGUGAACAACUUGUGCUAUGUUAAGGAUUCCUCCAUGAUCACGUGCCCUGUUUGUACACCAUGCUUGGGAAGGUGCAUGCAGACCAAUGUUAGUAAUAGUCAAAAUUCCUGUGUUGGUUUGUGUGAUUUGCUAAAGAGGACUCAAUGUAUCAUGAAAAAGUGUAUUAUAUAGUCAACGAUGGUCAACUAUGUCCCAAUGGUAUUUAUGAGAGGUAUCUGAAAUAUUUAUUGAUAAUGCAUAUAUGAAAAACGGAGAAGAAUUAAUGAAACAGAUAUAUCUAUGUUAGAAUGAUUCUGUGUAAAGAUAAGGAAUAUCAAGUCUGUUCUUAGGGUUUCAUGAAUCACAGAGUGUAAAAUUAUUACCAGUGAAUUAAUGAAUGAAUCUAAAGACAACGUAGAAAUGAAUGGAGAGAAAGAGGGUCAACCCUGGAUCGAUGAUGAGCACUGGUGGAGUAUGAGUCACAUACGAUGAAUAUGUGUCUGGAACUCUGAGGUCCAUCACAGAAGUCAGUUUCCUCUGUUUCAAGUAACUCUAGACAGAUGGCAAGAAUAUAGAAUGAAUUUUUUUUUGUUUAUGAGUUUUUAUUUUAUAAUUGGUUCAAUGAAAGAAUAAAACAUGUGAAUAAAUAAAAUAAAUAAGCUAAGCAUUGUCCAACUAUAAAAAUGUGUGGUGAGGUGUAUUUAAUAUGUAUUUAAAUUGAUGAAAGCCAAAAAGAAAUCUAACAUACCUAACCUUUUUGGCCAAUAAUGAAGAGACAGUAUAAAUUAAUAUGCCGUUUUCAUGUUCUGGGUUAGUGGCAAGUUCAAAGUUGUUCAUACUUCAAAUAAUGAUUGCCUAAAUGUUUAACUAAAGAUAGGUGAAAAGGAAAGAUCAACAAUGAGAAAAUCACAUGUUUGUUAUUAUUUUCUCUGCUCUGCACUCAUCAGAAUGGACAUACUUGUGAAGAUUUAAAGAUGCCUCCAAGGUCACAUGCUCUGUUUGCACCAUGCUUAGGAAGGAGCAUACAGACCAAUAAUGGAUGAAUUGUGCACCUUGAAAAGUUCUUCCCUGACCACCUGAGGCACUUGCAUCACGGUUAGGCUCAGGCAGACUAAUAAUGGACGUACUUAUUCUGAUUUGAGGACUUCUUCAUGGUCACGUGUUCUAUUUGCACCAUGCUUAGGAAGGAGCAUGUGUACCAAUAAUGGAAGCACAGAAGCUGGUUUUCACUGGUUAAGAGCUAUCUCUGUGCUAGAAGCUGGACACCAAUAUCCAUGAUUGCAUCUAUGUGUUAUAUGGUGUAUGGAGACCAAUGUGAGUGACAGUCAACGUUCUUGGUUUCAGUGUUUUUUAAAAAAGAUAUUCGUAGUAUUAUUAAGAAGUAGAAGUGUUAAAUAUAAUCAUUGAAGGUAAACGUUGGCCCAUUUGUAAAAAUAGGAUUAAUAUAAAGCAUUAUGUUGAUUAAUGCAUAUAUAUAAAACAUUGAAUUUAAUUAAUGAAAGAGAUGUAUUGCUGUGAGUAGUAUUGACUGAGACAGAUAUUAGAGCUAUUUAAGGAUUUUACUCUCAAGUUUUUGUGGCUCUAAGGUAAUUAUUUUAUUGUUAGUGAACUGAUAAGUUAAUCAAUAAAAACACGUAGACAUGAAUUAAGAAAAUGAGGUCCAAGCUUGGGCCGGUGAUGACAGCUGGUGGCGUGUGAGUCAUGGAUGGUGAGUACUAAGUGUCUGGAACUCUGAGGUUCAAUAUAAUAGAAAUCUAAUCUAUUCCUCUGUUGAAAAAAAUCCUUUAGAUAGAUGUUAGUGAUAUCGAGGGCUAUUUGCUUCCAAUUUUACAGUUCAUUGAUUAUGAUUGUAUUAAUAUAAAUGAAUUAAUGAAAGAAUCAAACAAAGAUUUAAAUGAUUAAACAUGAAGAGAGAGAGAGAGGCAUAUUCUAAUUGUUAACAUAUGUGGCAAGGAAAGAAAUACUAUUAAUUAAUUUGGAAUGGAUAAUAAAUGGGCUAUCGGUUUUAACUCUCUGGCUAAGAAUCAUAGAGCCAUUGAUAGAGCAGUAACACUGAUUAUUAGUUAUCAAUGGCUAUGUGAUUUUUUAGGUCAAUUCGCAGGUCAACUGGGUCACUUGUAAGUUCAAUAUUUAUUUUAUUAAGGGGAAAAUAAGCAAAUAUUAACAUAAAUCAAUAAAUACCAUCUGACAGAGUAAAUGGAAGGUAGAAUGAAAAAACUAAUGGAUAGAAAGUCUCACAUUUUGUCUUCUGCUCUUCCUUGUAAUCCUCAGAACAGUCACUUCCUGCACUGAUUCUGCCAUGAGCACUUGCUCUAUGGCUGUUUUAAGGAACCUGCAGACACAGAAUGGAUUAUCAUUGGUGAAGACCUUGGCUGGUAAGUCUCUGGGAAAGAAGGCUAUAGGCCCAUAAAUACAAUGUGCAAAGUUCUUGUCCUUGGGUGGGGUGUUUGCUCAGAGGUAUUCAUUGUAUUAUAAAAUAAUGCAUAAAUGACUACAUCUAUAUACAGAAUUAAAAAAGAACAGGGAUGAGAGUGUGUUACAUACCAAAAAUUAGAAUGAGUCCAAUCAGAGCAUCUGUGGAAUUAUACAUUUUUAAUAUCCCGAAACACUGAAUUUUAUGAAUAAAUUAAUAAAUCAGGAAUGUUCCUUCUUUUAGUAAGGAUCAUAUACACAAAGAAUAGUAAUAGUCAAUGUUUUUGCUCUGGGAGAAUGGUGAGUUCAAGUUUGUUUUGUUAAGAGAAGCAAAUAAAUAAUUUCACAAAUUUACCAAUACCUAAUUACAAAUAGCUAAGCAAAUCAAGGAGGGAAACAUGGAUCAGUUUUUGAUAUUUUCACUCCCUUUUUGUAAGGGAUAUUCCUGCAUAUUUUGUGUAUAAGUUUUUAAAGGUAUAAAAUAAUACAUAUUUAUUUUUCCUUUUUUUCACCAUCUGCUUUCAAUUCCAUAGAAUGAACACACUCAUCAUUACAAUGAUUCUGUGAUGAUGAAGACAUUCAUGGGUCAGUGUGAGUAAUGAUCCAAGUUCUUGUCAUUGUUGGAUGGUCCAUUUAGGGUAUUUAGUGUAUGAUAAUAAUAACACAUAAUCAGUGAAGGCUACAUAAGGACCAAUGGUAAGAUUGUAUUAUAAAUCAAGUUUCAUGAUGACUACCGUUUUGCACAACAGAAGUCCUUUUUAAAAGAGGAGCUCUACAUUUUUAGCUCUGUGGGUAUGGAAUAUGGAGUCAGAUGUAUGUAACUCUCAUAGUUUUUAUGUUAGGUGGUUCAUUUAAGGGUAUUCCUGAUAUUGUUAAAAUGGAUAAUAUGUUAAUUAAUAAGAUGGCACUCCAUGCACAAACCAGAGAUAAGAAUGUGGCAUAAAUCAUUGUUUGUGAUCAAUUUCUAUGAUGGUUACUUCAUGUUCACUAAAUCGAAACCUAAAUCUAGGUCUUUUCAUUUGGUAAUAUCCUCUUUCAUUUGGUAAUAUCAUCUACAGGAUGGAUAGACCAGAGCUGAUUAAAUUAUUCUUCCAUGAUGAGGAACUUUACCUUAUCCCUCGGAGUAAGGAGAAUGUCAUGCAAUGUAAGUAAUAAAGUUCUUGGGUUGGGUUGUUAGUUCAUGAUUUCUACUGUCAUUUAAAAAGAUAAUUAAAUUUUAAAAGGUCAUGCAUAGGCCUAUGAUGAGAAUGUGUUAUGGACCGAAACUAAUCCAAUUUAGCACAAGUGAAGUAUAAGGAAAAAAAACUUAGCUUUUCCGUUCAUUUUCAAUAGUUAAAUGUCACAUUAUAUGUUUGUCUCACUGAUUAUUUAUAGACUCUUCUCUUGAUAAAGGCUGUUACUCAUUUAUGGAGUCAGUAUUCUAGUUGUUGAGUAGGAUGGUGGUUCAAGCUUGUUCAUCGGAUAUCUAAAAAUGUUUCAAAUUAAAUGUAGAGGGGCCAUGUCUGGACCGAUGAUGUGAACGGAAUGCAUCUGAAUAAAAAUUAUGAUCAAUCAUUUUUGAACAACUGAGGUCCACUGCAAAAAGAAGAACUCAUAUGUAAACCUUUGUGGGAAUAAUGUCAGGCAAGUUUGGGAAUCUAGUUCCGGAGCUUGAGAGGGUUCACAGAUACUGAUUUUAUACAAUUAGCAGAUCCACUUCUGUGGAUCAACACACAAGUAUAUUCAUGAGUAAAGAAAAGGAGGUUAAGACAUGGACCAAUUCUGAAGGCAUGUUGUAAAGCAAGCAAUAUAAUUAAUUCAGUUCUGAAAUACCUUGGUCCAUCAAGAAAAAGAAAACAGAUUAAAUUUGUCACCACUUUGGGUAAGAAGCAUCUAGAUAGAAGUAUUUAAUAGUCAAUGUUCUGCUCCUAGUUUGCUGUGGGUUCCCAGAUGUUUGAUUCAUUAAGACAAAAAAAAUUAAACAAACAAAUACGUGUAUAGCUAAAUAAAUGGGUGCCAAGUAUGAACCAAUGAUAAGGGUAUUUCAUUAUUUUCUGCAUCUGCUUUGUAAGCCCACAGAACAGAGGUAACUUGGCUGUUUUAAUAAUUAUUUAAAGGAUGAAGAUCUUGACUGUUACCCAUGUGGCCAAGGAGAGUGUAGAACAGGGCAAGUCAGAUUAAAUUUUUAUUCUUGGUUUAGGCUUUUGUUAGAGAUGAUGAUUAUUUAUUAUUUAAAAAGAAGAAAUGACUUUAUGCAAUCAUAAAAUCCAAGAAGACCAUGCCUAAACCAAUGAUAAGAAGCAACAUGGCACAAGUAUACAUAUGUAACAAACGUGCACGUUAUGCACAUGUACCCUAGAACUUAAAGUAUGAUUAAAAAAAAAAAAAAAAAAGAAUGAAUCCUGCCAAGUGUCAUUUUGCAAAACGAGAUCCAUUUAAAAAGAGGUUUGGUUUGCUACCUCUUAGAUUAAGGAGAUUAUAGGCUGUUUCGAGCCUUAGUCAAAGAUCUCGUUCUUGGGUUAGUUGUAGUUCUCUUGAGUUUUAUUAUUUUAUUAAAAAUAACAAAUAGUUAAACAAGUACAAAGCGUUUAUGCUAGUAAAAUUACAAUGGCCACUCAUGACCAAUUGAGAGAUUAUGCCAUGAAACAAGGAUUUGUUUAACUUGGGUUAACUGUUUUACCACUGUUUGAGGAGGUCAUGGAAAGAUUUAAAUGAUAGUCAAUUUCUCCCCUCUUUCUUGGGAGUAGAUUCUUUGUUGUUGACUUUAUAUUUGAAAAUGAGUAACAAUUAAUAAUUAAGUAAAUUAAUGAACAGCAAAAACAUUAGAAUGGACAAGAAUAUUCAAAUGAUAACAUUUCAUGAAGCAAGAAUUAUGAUCAACACAAUUCUGCUUCUCUGAAAUCCAUUUAACAGAAAAGAGUCAGUCUGUUUUCUCUGUGUAUAAUGAGGUCAGAAACAGGUGUUAAAACAUUCAGUGUUCUUGUUUUUGUAUUUUGUUGGGUUCAUGGAGUUGGUUAUUAUGAUUAAGGAAAUAAGUAUAUAAAAAAGUAAAUUAGAAGAGGGCAAAUCAUGAACCAGUGGUUAAAAUGUGUUUUGAAACAAAGAUUAUAAGUAUUUCAGUUCUGCACCAUGGACUUUUAUGAAACGAAAUCUUCAUCUUUUAUAUCUUUAUUUUAAUAGUACAUAGUACCAUUCUGCAUAUACUACGGAUAUAUUUUAGACAUUUUUGCAUGCUACUUACAUUGAGUUUUUUUCACUAUCUCAGUUACAAAUUCUAGUGAACUGAUUUAUUUGGAGGUGGUGUUAGGAAACCCCUAUACCCCAUAUUUUAAAAAUUUUCUGGCAGGUGAUAUCGGAGAGAGUACUAAAAUAACUAAUAUUAAGGUAUUAAUUUCAGCUCAACAAGUAUUGAUGCUAAUUCUUGUCAGACCCCAUGUCAGGAGUGGCAUUUAUAUAUGAAUUUAGUUCCACUCAUUAAGUAGCUCUGUGAGAUUAGAUAGAGACCCAUUUAUAAAUGCAACAAUUCAAUAGAAUAGGGAAGGUAGAUGGGCUCUCUGUGAGGUUAGAGGGAGACCCACUUAUAAAUGCCACAAUUUGAUAAGAUAGGCCAGGUAGAUGGGCUUUCCGGAAGCACAGAAGGUAUGCCUUCAACUCAAUCUUAGUGUCAGGUGAGUUGUGGAAGAGAUGACUCCUGAGCCAGUGACAGACUCACUAGUCUGUAGCUCCGCAAAGCUGGGGACCACACUCCUCUCCUUCACUGCUCUGCCCCUUGUGCCUUACAUGGAGAGCACACACAAUAAGCAUCUGUUGAAUGAGUAGGUGAAUACAUGGUGAAUAAAAGAAUGGAGGAGUGAAGCAGUACAUGAACAAAUGAGUCUUUGAGUAAACACAGGAAUGAAUAAAUGAAGUAAUAAAAAUGGGAAGGAGUACGUGAAUGAGUGAAUGGAUCAAUGAUAGGUCCAUGAGUGACUGAGUCAGUGAUAAGUGGAUAAAUGCAUGGUGAGUUAAUGAGUGGGUGAGUUCACGUGUCAGUAGAAAUGUCACAAAGUGAAUGAGUGGAUGAUGAAAGACUAAGUCAAUGAGCAAAUGAAUGGAAGACUAAUAGGUCAAGGAGUCAAGAAAUGAAAGACGAACAUGUAAAUGGAUGAGUGAAUCAAUGGGUCCAUGAAUUCCUGAAUGAAUUUAUGAAUUAACGGAUAAAUGAAAGUUAAUUAGUAAUAAGGAAAUAAAUGAAUAGAUGAGUCAGUGUAUGAAUCAAUCAAUGAGUUAAUGACUCAGUGAAGAACCAAAUGAAUGAAUUAAUCUAUGAAUGAGUGAGUUUACAAAUGAAUAAAUCAAAGAAAGAGGAAACAAUUGAAUAAAUUAACUGGGUAGAUAAGUCAGUGAAUGAAACAAAUUAUGAGUGAAUAGAUAGACAAAAGGAUGGAUAAAUGAUGGAUAUUUUAUAGCUAAUGAAUAGAACAGUGAAUUAGUGAGUGAGCAAAUGAGUCAGUGAAUGAGUAUGUAAUCAAGGAAUAAAUUAGCUCUGGGAAUGAGUAAGUGAAUAAGUGAAUGAGUCAAUAAAUUAGUGAAUUAGUCACUUAUUGAAGCGUAAGGCAGUGAGUGAAUGAACUCACACUGGGACUCUUUCCCUGACUGUUCCACAGAGAAUAGUCAUGCCCCAGCUUCACACCACAGCAUAAAUAAUCAGAGCACCCACCCUACACUAUCGUGGGCGUUUGUUUACAUGUGAUCACUAAACUGAUGUGCCGCAGGGGCCAGGAACUGGGUCAAAUUAUUCUCUCUAUCCCUGGUGCCUGCCCAGCUCUGAGCCUCGGAAGAGCACAGUAAAUUGUUGCUGAAUGAAUGAACAAUAGCUAAAAAUACAUGCGCUUUUUUGGAACCAGGAUGGGCCGUCUGAGAAUGGCCUGGGAGCUGUUCUUUGGGGAGGUGUGCUGUGUGUCAGAUGGUUUGUGGCAUCCUCCUACACAAGUGCAGAUUCUGCCUUGAGUCCAGCUUCCUGUGUCCAGUGCCAGACAGUGAGACAGGAUACUGGCAGUUCAAACUGCCCUGGACGUUGGCCCAUCCUUGGGCAAUGCUGGCUUGGCAUGGUGGAAUGGAAGCCCUAGGUCUUCCUGAAAGCUGCCCUUGCCUCUGCCAAGACAGGAGAUCAGAAAUAACCCGGUCUUGUUUUUAUGCCUUCAGCAAGUGGGCCCACUCCAUGCCUUUCCAAGCAAACCACAUUCCUCCUUGCUGUAGUUGUGGGACAUUGGGUUGAAGUACCCCUUAACCUUUAUCUGGUAGAUGAGAAUAACAAUCUCCUGCCUGGGUGGAUGUGCUGCUUUACAGGAGAUUAUUUAAUGCAUGUUACAUACAGAGCGUGGUACCUGGGAGGAAACAGAUGUUUCAGAAAUGUUACAUGCCAAUUUUCUUCAUCCCCACCCAACGUAGCUAUAUUUGAUGAUUUCAAAUGCAUUAAUUUAAAAGCUCUCAAAUGGAUGUGAUACUCAAAUUCCCCUCUUCCAGAAGAUUGGAGAGUUCAACUGAGUUCUAGGAAGAAUGCCAGUCUGGAUGGUAUUCUGGGUCAGUCCAGAACUUCAAGAUGGCAUGGCAUGCCCUUCUACCAGGGAACAGUCAACCAGAAAAAUGAGUUGGCAAUAUCCACGCUCUAUGUAGGACACAUACACGAGACCCACCCUUCAUCUCUCUACCCUUCCCUCCCUUCCUUCAUUCAACAUAUAGGUAUUCAAGGCCCACUGUAUGCCUCACACUGACCAUUUCUUGUCUUCUCUUGUCUUGGCUGGCUCCUGACCCUGGAUUUCAUCUCUCACUGCUAUUCUCACGUCCUUCCUUUGAACUUGGCGAUUGGUUCUUGGUCAUCUGGUGUGAAUACUGCCCUCUCCUUCAUGAGGACUUGAUUUGGGCUUCCUACUUCAGAGCACAUCAGGUAGACUCCCCCUUCUUAAUUCGGGGCAUCGGGGACCCCUAUUCUGACUCUUCUAGGUCAGCCGUUUUCCAUCUGGGCAAGCUUCAGCCCCUUAUAAGAGGAGCUUAGGCUGUGUUGGUGGCAGGGUGACCUCUGAAUGCUGGGGUUGGGCAGCAGCGUCAGCAUGGAAGGCUUCGGGCUAGACUCUGAGAUUCACUUGGUGCCUGAAAGCUGGUCUUUCAGAGGAGUUAGGUUGUCACUGCCCCCCUGUCCACUGAAUUCCUUGAAUAAUGAGGCAAAACGACCUUUCAACAUUCAGCAACUUGCAAUUAAUUUAGUUUUCCCAUCCCUCCCACUGGUUACUCAGCCUGUGCUGGGCCUGACACAAAUGUCAGCCCCUCUCCUACCUUCACAGCCCCCCGCCCUCUCCCCUAGCUUCCUUCCCACAGUCCUCUGUUCACAUCUGCCCUUCCUCACUCCUCCUUACCCACGCCAGAACCCACAUCACAUUGUCUGCUAUGAGCUGCCAAUUUAUCCCAAAGGGCUAUGAGCUUCUUGAGGCAGGUGUUCUUUUUAUGUCAUUAUAAUCCACAGAAGGUCUAGGCAUCAGGAAAUGUUAGGUGAAUUAGGUGUUCAUCCAGUCAUUCAUUUAUACAAAAGGUGUUGGGCCCUUUCUGUGUGCCACAGGCUGGGUGGUAGAAGUAAGUAAUCUAUCUUACAAGAAGUAAGAUAGACACCACCUCUGCCCUUAUAGAGUUCCAAGUCUUGGAUGAGAGAUUCUAAGCAAAUGUUUCUGGCAAAAGAAUUUAAUUACACUUGUGAUAAGUGCUAUGAAGCCAUGGCUCUGGGGACCGUCAUUUGCUCGGCCAGCUGGGUUGGUCUUAAUGUUCCCCUUGCUUCUCUCCUUGGCUUUGAGGGGAGCCUGAGAGAAGGACAGGACUCUAGCCACGGUCAGAGAUGGCCAGUGGCUUUGGCUCCCUGGGCUCAGGUCUGUGGGGUGUUUGGACAUCUAGGAGGAAAGAGGAAUGACUGGACCUGGGGAUUUAUGCUUGGCUGUUACUUGAGUUCUGCUUGAUAAUGACCUGGGCGGUUGUCAGCCGUCGAACCCUGCCCUUUGCUCAAGCCCCUCACCUGUUAACAAAGUCCCUGCUGAGUGCCAGGGUUUAGUCUUCCCUGUCAACUUCCAAGUAUUUCUCUCAGAUGUUUUGCCAAAUGACAAACUAAAGGUAGACUGGAAUAUGAGUUGACCUUUUCUUUUUCCUCCGCUGCAGUUCUGAGUUUCUUAAAGUGGUUGCCUGAGAAACAGUGAUAUCCUGCAGGCAGCUGGGCCACUGGGCAUGCGCUGUUCCAAGCACCAUCCCUGCUGCCUCCUCCUUCUGCCUUUGUUGUUCAGUCUCCACCCAGGCAGCCAUCCCUCCUCUGUAGAACCCCCAGUGAGCCCGCAGGUCCCUCUUCUCAUCUGCACCACCAUGCCACCCAGGCUUCCCUCAUCUUGGGCUGGUCUUUCUGCUCCCACCUCCCCUCUGCUCUCUUCCUGGGAGGUGGAGUUAGAGCAGCCUUUCUAGAAUGCAUGCCCCAGAGUCCCUGCUCCUGAAAGCCCGCUCGUGGCUCCCAUAGGCCCCAGGAUGGAGCCCCAGCUCCUUGGCCUCCUGCCAUGCCUCCCACUACAUGCCCCCUGCCCUUGUGUGCUGCCUGGCAGAGCCUCCCCGGGUCUCCGGGCGUGUGCGUCUCUGUGCCUUUGCCCCUGAGCCCCUCUCUGUGGCCACCCUCCCACUGCUCCAUGGAUGCAAAACUGCUCUUGCUUCUCUCCCUGUGGUGGGCUAUGUUGCCCCACACUGUGAACUGUUGCAUGGUCAUGAACUUGACCUUCAUUCAUAACAUUUGUUGCUGGCUCAUGAUUUGUUUAGGUGUCUGCUUCCACAACCAGACCUUCGGCUCCCUGAGUAUAGGUGCUCUGUCCUGGUCAUCUCAGACUCCCCCACUGUCCAGUACAGAACCCAGUGCAGAGGGGCCGAUCAUUAAGAACGUCAGUUGAAUGAAGGAACGAGUGGAUGCACAAAAGGAUAGUUGUACCGUCAUACUGGGGCACAAAUUAUAUCCCUGGCGGAGAACUGGGUUCACUGGCAUGGCGGAAUAUCACCUCCUUCUCCAGCCAACUCCACUUUGCCUUCCACCUGCGACUCAUUAAGAGAUAUGUAACCUUAAUCCUUGAAAUUGCCUGGGAUGGAGCAUGUUUUCACUCAAUGGCAUGGACAUAGGGAUUUUAUUCCUCUCUUAAGUAAAUCUCACUCCCCUAGGAAGCUUGGACAGGAUGUGGGCAAUCGAACUAGGGCUUGAAACUGAACGUUUUGCAAAAGGCCCCUUUCGAAAUCUGAAACCCUGUGGCCACUGGCCAGAGCUGAGUCUGGCUUGUGGGGGUCGCGGGGGCCUCCUCUCAAAGAAGGGAAGGGAAGAUUGAAAAUAAACCUAGGCUGAUGGUUUGUGAGACAGAAUUCUGAGGUCUGGUUUUGCUUCUCUGACGAAACUUGAGUGAACUUGGCCAUCCUCUUUAGCUCUUCUUUCGAGCCUUUGGCCGAAGGCUCCAACCCUCCCAAAGCCAGAAGGGAGCUUGAUUUGAUCCUGAAAUGGACGGGACAAGUGUGCAGGCACUAGGUGGGGUGGGAGCUUUGGCCCAGGUUGGGAGGAGAGGGAACUCAGGGCCAGGGCCAGCGAUCGUGCAGUCCCGCUCAGAGGGUGGAGUGGCUGGAGGCUGACCUUUCUCCCAGGGAGCAGGCGCUGGGUGGACCCUGACACUGGGGAGAAUGAAAGGAAAAUUAUAUCAUGCCUAUUGUGUGCCAGGCAGAGGCAGCAGUUCCCCUUUCAUCUGGGGAAUGUCCCGGGUGGGUGAUGUCAGUUCCUCAUUGUGCAAACAAGGAAACUGAGACCCGGGGCCCAUCCCAUCCACGAUCAGGGCCCAGGCAGCUCUGACUCAAUGUUCAGUGCUCUCUGCAGGUGUCUGGGCACUUGCCACACAGAGCAGUGACCAAGGAUCACAGAUGCAGUGGGCUGGGGGGAUGGCAGAAAACAAAGGGUUAGGGUGCCCGGAUGCCAGGUUCUCAGUGCUGGUGUCCUCACAACGGGCUGUCCCUAUGCCCCUGCUGUCCUCAGUGGGUGGACACUAGAUCUGGACUGACCCCUGGGACAGGAGGAUUCGAGAUGUCUUAUUCUCUUUUGAUUUCUUUUGUCUUUUCUCUGCCAGGAAGAUACUGGUCUCUGUUCUUGGUUAAGUUCCCGGAACCAUCUAAGUUUCGUGCCCCUCAGCUGUAAAAGGGAAGUGCAUUGCAUUUGUUUAUUCUGUAAAACUCUUGGUGUGUGCCAUGGUAUGCACUGAUGACGAGCACAUGUGUGCGGCCCUGCCCCCAUGGAGCACGUACAUGGUCCUUCAGCCGGAGACCGCGCUGGGAGAACUCAGGGGUUCACUCCCGGUCAGAGGUGAGCAUCUGCCUCUGCACAAAGGAAGGCAUUUCAUGAAACCCCAAAGGCCCCGCAGCCCCCGCACGUGGAAGGAGUCACUCUCCUCCAUGUGGGGUGAGCCACGCUGGCCUUGUGGCAUUCACGUGUUCUCUCCACCUGCUUCUCCAGCCUGAAGGGGACCUCAGUGUCCUCUGAUGACCUUCUUGAAGAGAGACAUUUCCUCCCUGCCUUCAUUGGAGCCUUUAGACGGAGCCGAUGACAGCCCAGCUCAGGUUGUUUCCCAUCUGUGAAAUGGGAAGAGGGAGGAUGGCGCCAGUCCCUUACCCUCACCACAUUGUCCGCUACAGAGAGGAAAGAUGUUUCCAUUCUGAUCCCCACACACCUCUACCCCGUCCUUCCAGGCUCCUGAUCCUCAUUGUAAUUUUGGGGCUAUUUGGUGAUAUUUUCUUUGUCCUUGGAUCUGAGGCUUCUCCUACCAGCACGUGUUUUUUCAACAUGACAAAAUAAAAGCCCUGGGCCAGGCGGGGUGGCUCACGCCUGUAAUCCCAGCAGUUUGGGAGGCCGAGGCAGGUGGAUGACAAAGUCAGGAGUUCGAGACCAGCCUGACCAGAAUGGUGAAACCCCAUCUCUACUAAAAUUACAAACAAUUAGCUGGGCAUGGUGGCACGCGCCUGUAAUCCCAGCUACUCAGGAGGCUGAGGCAGGAGAAUUGUUUGAACCCGGGAGCUGGAGGUUGCAGUGAGCUGAGAUCACACCAUUGCACCCCAGCCCGGGCAACAAGAGCGAGACUCCGUCUCGGGGAGUAAAGAAAAUAAGACAGCCCUGCUCCUGCAGCAGGGGCUGAACCCCAUCCCUGACAGAUGUUUCUGGUAUCAGCAGCAGCUGGUGACCCCGGCCAGCCCCCUGCCAGCCGGGGUUGCUGGCAGCGACUCAGAGGGGACAAAGGCCAUCCUGGGCACAUGUGUCCCUCCUGUGGCCUCCCUUCCUUCAGCUGCCCGCCCCCACCCCCAGCCCCACCCCCACCCCAUUGCUGCUGGGCUCCUGGCUUCAUUUAUUGAUGGACUCUCCUGUGGGGUUCUCUGGGGAACCCAAGCCAGAGUUCAGACUUCAUAAAGGGCUGCUUAACUGACUCCCUGUGUCCCGGGGUUCCCCUGUCCUCCUCUGUGACCCUGGUCCCUGGCCCCCUCAUUUGCACGCAGCUGUGCUAUACAUUCCCUUUGCAUCACCCCCCACCCCCUGCUCCCUGCAAAACCCCACUGCUCUGCAGGCCACAAAUCCAGAGAUUUAAUACCCCAGUGAACUGUGGGUCACGUUCCUUGGCUCAGCUGUUUACUCAGCUGGUGGGUGCUCAUCAGAGUUGGAGAAGCCAUAUUGGAAGGGAGGAGUCCCAAAGGCAGCAGCAACCCCUCUAAAGUCAUGGGCCCUGCGGUCCCACGCUGCUGCAAUAAAGGUCUCCUGGCUUCGCCUCCCAGGCUUCCUCCUUGCCAUCCUUUCUCGGGGACUCUGGCUGUGUGGCCUGGGUUUGGAUUUGUAUUGUGAGGAAGAAGAGACAGAGUGGGGUGUGUGACAAGGGCUAGGGUAAGCAGGAAAUCAAGCCUUGCUAGUUGGUUUUCUGGAGUGGAAUUGAGCCUUAAGAAAAGAGACUUGUGAGGGCCAGGUGUGGUGGCUCAUGCCUAUAAUCCCAGUGCUUUGGGAGACCCAUAUGGGAGGACAGCUUGAGGCCAAGAGACCAACCUGGGUAACAUAGCAAGACUCCGUCCCUACAAAAAAAUGAAAAGAUGAGCUGGGUGUGUUGGUGCACACCUGUGGUCCCAGCUACUCAGGAGGCCCUCGGGAUGCCCCUCUACCCUGACUUCUAGUAUGGCUUUGUGCCACUGUACUCCAGCCUGGGUGACAGAGCAAGGUCCUAUCUCUAAAAAAAGAAGAAAGAAAAGAAAAUGAGCCUCGUGAGCUGGAAACAAGGGAGGCAGAGGUCCUUCGAGUUCCCCAGCCCAACCCUGCGGGACCCCCAGGGAGCUGUCCCUCCCUCCCUCCCUGCUUCCCUGACACGGGUGGAGUCUGUGCUGCCACACUGGCCACCUUGCUGAAGCCUGCCAGUGCUGCAGGGGGGUGUCACUGGCCUUCCUUACAGAGAAGGAAACUGAGGCUCAGAUGAAUGCAGACAGCCUAGGCCUGCGCCAAGUCUGGGGUGCAUCUCACGUCCACACACCUGCCUCCAGUACUGCUCACUGCCCCCGGGACACACAGGUAGGGGAUUGAAGCAGAAGCUGGCAGCGGCUCUGUCUGCAGAGGCUGGUUGCCUCGUCUCCCAUCUGUGCGCUUGGGUCAGGGCCCCUUUCACGAGAAGGCCUCCGUCCGGAGAGCACCGCAGCACAUGUUCACUGUUUGCUCAGCAGGAUGAAAGAGCUUACCAGACUUUCCUGGCCAAGUUGACCAAUUGGUGAUUUUUCAUAAAGCCCCACAGCAAAGCAUCUGGAAAGCUCCUUUCCUGCUCCUGACAGUCACCCCGAACAGCAUGUUUCCAAAUCCACAGAACAUAUGGGCUGCAGAGCUGAGAGCCUUGCUCCUGGCCCAGCCAACAGAAUGCCGUCUUCUUUCCCUGGCGUGGGCGCAGGGGCCGCUCUCAGCUGCCUUGCCCCCAACCUUAGAGCCUUGCCUUUGGUACCCGCUCGCUUGCCUCCAAAUUCCUGCGUCCAAGACCUCAGGGACAGCCCCCGUUGGGUACUCAUCUGCUAUUAAUACCAGCCCAUUUCUUUCCCAGCAAGGAGAGCCUGGCUGAGUCAGUCCCUGGGCCAAGAUUGGUAUGGAAGGAACUCUACUGAUAUGAGCAAGGCAGUGAAUAGGCAAAGCACAGCUCCUGAAUCCAGGAUCAGGUCAUAGCCAGUGGCCAUCAGAGCCUCAGAUGGAAGAGCCAGCGGGAAGCCCCAGACCCACCUGGCUGUAUGGGACAUUGACCCAGCACAGGGAGAAGACCCAGGUGGAUAUAAGUUGUAGUUACUGUUCUAGUUCUGGGUUGGAGGCUGGGCUUAUCCAUGGGCACUGAAUCCUUAAAAAGUUAAAUGAAGAUGCUAACAUAGAGCCACUUAUGGACUCAUGUUGACUGGUGUCAGAAUAAAGUCUACAAUCAGUCCAAUUCUGUGUAUAUCUGAGUUUGAGGACAAUGAUAGUAAUAAUAACAAUAGCAAUAACUUGACUGGUCUAAACCUCAAUGCAUUGCUCUACUUGGCCAAACCUGUACACCCUCUUCCCCCAAGUUCCUUUAUCUCGAUGAAUGGCCUCAGUAAUCCUGAGACCAAAGUCUGCUGCAUCUUCUUCCUCCCCUGCACCCUCCAGGAGCAAUCCAUCACCAAGUCCCAUCAGCGCGACACCCUGAAUGUCUCUCCUCCUCACUUCCUUCCAGUUGCCCCUGCCUGGUCGGGCCUCAUCUUCCCUGUCUGGCUCCAUUGGAUGCCCUCUGCUUGCUUGCCUCGUCUCUGGCUGUAUCCUGUGGGUGACAUGCAUGCAUAACCGGCGCCACUUAAACCCCCCGGUGGGCUCCAGGGUGCACCAAGCCACGCCAUCCCAUUGGCCCCGUGUCCUUUCCUUUUCCUCUCUUGCUCCAGCCUUACUUGUAAUUCCUCAGUUCACACCUCCAUCAUGUCUGUCAGUCUCAAGAUCUCCUCAAAACCCCCAGCCCUUCUCCAGACCUGUUCAAGUGCCCCAUUCAUCACUCCCCGUGUGCAGUUCCGUAGUUGUCCAUUUUGCAUUGACUUCCCAGUAUCUGGAGGCAGGAGCCGGCUCUGACCCAACUUGCCAUUCCCAAAGUACCCUCUCAGUGAAUGUGGCAGGUCCCCCUGCCUUGUCAAUAAGUCAUGUGAUUGGGCAGGUUGUGUGACUUGUCCCUCUUG